GGCGCUAUAGUGUAGUGGUUAUCACUUGGGAUUCUGAUCGUCAUGUGUUCCCAAAACCCAGGUUCGAGCCCUGGUAGCGCCU